AGUCGAGGGGAAAGGUGGUCCAGCUUGCUGGAUGCCGACGAGCGGCGGACGGGUGAGUAAUGCAUAGGAAUCUGCCCAAUAGUGGGGGAUAACCUGGGGAAACCCAGGCUAAUACCGCAUACGUCCUACGGGAGAAAGCGGGGGCUCUUCGGACCUCGCGCUAUCGGAUGAGCCUAUGUCGGAUUAGCUGGUUGGUGAGGUAACGGCUCACCAAGGCGACGAUCCGUAGCUGGUCUGAGAGGAUGAUCAGCCACACCGGGACUGAGACACGGCCCGGACUCCUACGGGAGGCAGCAGUGGGGAAUAUUGGACAAUGGGCGCAAGCCUGAUCCAGCCAUGCCGCGUGUGUGAAGAAGGCUUUCGGGUUGUAAAGCACUUUCAGUGGGGAAGAAAGCGUGCCGGCCAAUACCCGGUACGGACGACAUCACCCACAGAAGAAGCACCGGCUAACUCCGUGCCAGCAGCCGCGGUAAUACGGAGGGUGCGAGCGUUAAUCGGAAUUACUGGGCGUAAAGCGCGCGUAGGCGGCUGAGUAAGCCGGUUGUGAAAGCCCCGGGCUCAACCUGGGAAUGGCAUCCGGAACUGUUUAGCUAGAGUGCAGGAGAGGAAGGUAGAAUUCCCGGUGUAGCGGUGAAAUGCGUAGAGAUCGGGAGGAAUACCAGUGGCGAAGGCGGCCUUCUGGACUGACACUGACGCUGAGGUGCGAAAGCAUGGGUAGCAAACAGGAUUAGAUACCCUGGUAGUCCAUGCCGUAAACGAUGUCGACUAGCCGUUGGGUCCCUUGAGGACUUAGUGGCGCAGUUAACGCGAUAAGUCGACCGCCUGGGGAGUACGGCCGCAAGGUUAAAACUCAAAUGAAUUGACGGGGGCCCGCACAAGCGGUGGAGCAUGUGGUUUAAUUCGAUGCAACGCGAAGAACCUUACCUACCCUUGACAUCCUGCGAACCCUCCGGAGACGGAAGGGUGCCUUCGGGAGCGCAGAGACAGGUGCUGCAUGGCUGUCGUCAGCUCGUGUUGUGAAAUGUUGGGUUAAGUCCCGUAACGAACGCAACCCUUGUCCCUAUUUGCCAGCGAUUCGGUCGGGA
rnacentral:rRNA from 1 species